AGGCCUCUGGGCUGUAAACCUCUUUUCUCAAGGAAGAAGAUCUGACGGUACUUGAGGAAUAAGCCACGGCUAAUUCCGUGCCAGCAGCCGCGGUAAUACGGGAGUGGCAAGCGUUAUCCGGAAUUAUUGGGCGUAAAGCGUCCGCAGGCGGCCCUUCAAGUCUGCUGUUAAAAAGUGGAGCUUAACUCCAUCGUGGCAGUGGAAACUGUUGGGCUAGAGUGUGGUAAGGGCAGAGGGAAUUCCCGGUGUAGCGGUGAAAUGCGUAGAUAUCGGGAAGAACACCAGUGGCGAAGGCGCUCUGCUGGGCCAUAACUGACGCUCAUG
rnacentral:rRNA from 1 species